rnacentral:rRNA from 1 species
GUCGUAACAAGGUUUCCGUAGGUGAACCUGCGGAAGGAUCAUUACAGAGAAUGUGCCCUUCUGGGUAUACCUCCCACCCUUUGCUUAUAAUACUCUUGUUGCUUUGGUGGACCUGUCUCUUGACUGCCGGCUCUGGCUGGUUAGUGCCCACCAGAGGACCCAAACACCCUCUUAAUUAUGUCGUCAGAUUAUUAUACAAAUAGUUAAAACUUUCAACAACGGAUCUCUUGGUUCUGGCAUCGAUGAAGAACGCAGCGAAAUGCGAUAAGUAAUGUGAAUUGCAGAAUUCAGUGAAUCAUCGAAUCUUUGAACGCAUAUUGCACCCUCUGGUAUUCCGGGGGGUAUGCCUGUUCGAGCGUCAUUACAACCCUCAAGCACUGCUUGGUAUUGGAUGCUACUCGUGUAGUGCAUCACAAAAGUAUUGGCAGCAGCGUGUAGCUUCUAGUGUAGUAUUCUGUCGCUAAGGAGUAUAGAUGUCUGCUUGCCCUAAACCUACAUUUAUUCAAAGGUUGACCUCGGAUCAGGUAGGGAUACCCGCUGAACUUAAGCAUAUCAAUAAGCGGAGGAAAAGAAACCAACAGGGAUUGCCUCAGUAACGGCGAGUGAAGCGGCAACAGCUCAAAUUUGAAAUCUGGCCUUGCGGUCCGAAUUGUAAUUUGUAGAGGAUGUUUCGAGCAAGGUCUGGUCUAAGUUCCUUGGAACAGGACGUCAUAGAGGGUGAGAAUCCCGUAUGUGACUGGGUGCCUAAGCUCAUGUGAAGCUCCCUCAACGAGUCGAGUUGUUUGGGAAUGCAGCUCAAAAUGGGUGGUAAAUUUCAUCUAAAGCUAAAUACUGGCCAGAGACCGAUAGCGCACAAGUAGAGUGAUCGAAAGAUGAAAAGCACUUUGGAAAGAGAGUUAAACAGUACGUGAAAUUGUUGAAAGGGAAGCGCUUGCAACCAGACUUGCAUGCAGUUGAUCAUCUGGUGUUUUCACUAGUGCAACUCAGUUGUAUUCAGGCCAGCAUCGGUCUUGAUGGUUGGAUAAAGGCCCUGGGAAUGUAGCUUCUCUUGGGGAGUGUUAUAGCCCAAGGUGCAAUGCAGCCUAUUAGGACCGAGGACCGCGCUUCGGCUAGGAUGCUGGCGUAAUGGUUGUAAGCGACC